rnacentral:rRNA from 1 species
UAAACAACGUAAAACCAACCUCCCUUCAGGUGGGGAACAACAGAACGGAACGACUCUAAUACCGAAUAAGUUCCAAGAGCCGCAUGGCCCAUGGAAGAAAAGGUGGCCUCUACCUGUAAGCUAUCGCCUGAAGAGGGGUUUGCGUCUGAUUAGCUGGUUGGAGGGGUAACGGCCCACCAAGGCGACGAUCAGUAGCCGGUCUGAGAGGAUGAACGGCCACACUGGAACUGAGACACGGUCCAG